UCUUCGGAAUGAAAUUAAGUGGAUUAGUGGCGAACGGGUGAGUAACACGUGAGUAACCUGCCUUACACAAGGGGAUAGCCUUUGGAAACGAAGAAUAAUACCCUAUAAAGUCAAUUUAUCGCAUGAUAGAGUGACCAAAGAUUUAUCGGUGUAAGAUGGACUUGCGUCUGAUUAGCUAGUUGGUGAGAUAAAAGCCCACCAAGGCGACGAUCAGUAGCCGGCUUGAGAGAGUGUACGGCCACAUUGGGACUGAGACACGGCCCAAACUCCUACGGGAGGCAGCAGUGGGGAAUUUUGCACAAUGGGGGAAACCCUGAUGCAGCGACGCCGCGUGAUUUAGAAGGCCUUCGGGUUGUAAAAAUCUUUUUUAUGGGAUGAAAAUGACAGUACCAUAAGAAUAAGGUCCGGCUAAAUACGUGCCAGCAGCCGCGGUAAUACGUAUGGAUCGAGCGUUGUCCGGAAUCAUUGGGCGUAAAGGGUACGUAGGCGGCCUAGUAAGUUAGAAGUGAAAUAAUAUAGCUCAACUAUAUAAAGCUUUUAAAACUGUUAGGCUUGAGAGAUGAAAGGGAAAGUGGAAUUCCUAGUGUAGCGGUGAAAUGCGCAGAUAUUAGGAAGAAUACCGGUGGCGAAGGCGACUUUCUGGUCAUCAUCUGAC
rnacentral:rRNA from 1 species